rnacentral:rRNA from 1 species
AUACAGAGGGUGCAAGCGUUAAUCGGAUUUACUGGGCGUAAAGCGCGCGUAGGCGGCUAAUUAAGUCAAAUGUGAAAUCCCCGAGCUUAACUUGGGAAUUGCAUUCGAUACUGGUUAGCUAGAGUGUGGGAGAGGAUGGUAGAAUUCCAGGUGUAGCGGUGAAAUGCGUAGAGAUCAGGAGGAAUACCGAUGGCGAAGGCAGCCAUCUGGCCUAACACUGACGCUGAGGUGCGAAAGCAUGGGGAGCAAACAGGAUUAGAAACCCCAGUAGUCC